rnacentral:rRNA from 1 species
UACGGGGGGGGCAAGCGUUGUUCGGAAUUACUGGGCGUAAAGGGCUCGUAGGCGGCCAACUAAGUCGGAUGUGAAAUCCCCAGGCUUAACCUGGGAACUGCAUCCGAUACUGGAUGGCUUGAAUUCGGGAGAGGGAUGCAGAAUUCCAGGUGUAGCGGUGAAAUGCGUAGAUAUCUGGAGGAACACCGGUGGCGAAGGCGGCUUGCUGGGCCAGUUCUGACGCUGAGGAGCGAAAGCGUGGGGAGCGAACAGG